rnacentral:rRNA from 1 species
UACGUAGGGUGCGAGCGUUUGUCCGGAAUUAUUGGGCGUAAAGAGCUCGUAGGCGGUGUGUCACGUCGGCCGUGAAAACCUGCAGCUUAACUGUGGCGUGCGGUCGAUACGGGCAUCACUGGAGUUCGGCAGGGGAGACUGGAAUUCCUGGUGUAGCGGUGAAAUGCGCAGAUAUCAGGAGGAACACCGGUGGCGAAGGCGGGUCUCUGGGCCGAUACUGACGCUGAGGAGCGAAAGCGUGGGGAGCAAACAGG